UAAAAAAAACCCUGUACUUUGCAUUUUUUUUCAAUAAGACAUAUGUACUUUCGAAAGGUCCUAUUACCUCCCUGUACCACUUAUAUAUGUAAUAAAUACACACUUCUGACCUGGUUUGGCAAAACGUGUGUGUGCAUGCUCUGUAGGAGCGUGAAGAAAAAAUUUGGGCUUCAAAGAAGCCAAUCAUAUUUUGCCACGUGGCUGCCCAAACUUAAAAAAAUAGAACGUUAAGUUUUCAUGUUCUUCUUCAACGUUAAAGUCAGUUGCAGUAGCAGCCAUACUCUCAACUUUUGUUCUUCUUCUUCCCCAAAGUAAAAUUCUAUCACCCAAAAUCAGAUUGAAAAAGGUAUUAAAUUUCUUUUUUUCUUCUUUAAUUUUAUUGUCUUCCUAACUUAUAGUCUUUGUUUUUUUUUUUCAAAGAAUAAAACUCGUUCUAUAUUCUCCUAGUUAGGGUUUGAGAAAAAUCAUGUCAAAGCGUAGCUUCACUCGCAUUUGUAAAGAUGAUACUGAUCCAAUGUUGCGUGAAAGUGUGCGAUGCAAACACGGGGACUUGCUGACCUUGCAGACUUCUUGGUCGGAGUAUAAUCCCGUAAGAAGAUUUUGGUCGUGCCCACGCUAUCGAGAAAACUCAUGCAAGUUCUUUAGGUGGAGGGAUCGGGAACAAAUUGAUGAUAGAUCCAAAUGGGUUAUAUCAAGAUUGGGAAAUGAAUUUUGGAUCUGGAAAAAAAAAAUAAUGUUUUAUGAAACAAUGGAGAAUGAGUCUCAAUUGAUAACGGAGGGAAGUUUUUAUCAAGUUCAAGUGGAUUCGACGACCAAUUAUUCUAUAUUUAAUGGGAAGCAAAUCAUGUUUGUUGGUAUCGGCAUUUUGUUAUUAGGUGUCUUAUUAAGCUUUUGUUGAUGUUGUCCGAAUAAACUCAAAGAUGAAACUUUGUUUGUUCUCUUUCUUUUGCGUAAGUUUUAAAUUAGUGUAGGUAUUUAUUGUAUUGUCUUGAAUUAUGCGUUAGUUAAUGUAAUGUAAUGUUGUUUAUCGAAUAGUAAUAUGAAUUGUGCGUUAAUGUAAUGUAAUGUAAUGUCAUCUAUC